UCUGCAUGGUCACUGUCCAGUGGAUAGAGGUAGGGGAGCAGAAGUACAGGCAUGUGCAGAAGAAUGUUUUAGGUCUUGCUACUGAUAACAUUAAAAUGACUGGAAACAGAGAAGGGAGAAGCUUACUAAGUUUUUGAAGAACAUUUACUACCAAGUAAAUCACCAGCCAACCCAGACUUAAUAACAGCAAGAAAACUUUGUUGAAACCUUCAAACAACCCUCAGGCCCCCCCAACACUGGCAGGAGAUGGAAGUGGGUGAAGUGGGAGCCUAAAGCUGUCUAGCUCCCAGGAAGAGCAUUAUCUCCAACAUCCAUUUCAUACAUGGCCCUGGGGGAUACUGGACAAGAAAAGCCUCCCAGAGGCCUGAUUCAUAAAAACUUCCCAUGGGCAAUCCUCCAUGCUCUUUACCCUCCAGCCAACUGAUUGGAGACAACUACAACCACUUUGAAAACCACGUGUUGGAAGAUGGCAGAGCCUCAUCUUGGGCUGGGCCCCUGAGUGACCGAGUAGGACCAGAGUUCUUGGCCACGUCCCCAACCUGAAACUGCUUAGGACUGUUAUAAGAAAGAAAGGAACAAAUUCCUAUUAGGUUUUAGACAUAAUUUUUGAGUUCACUACCUUCAUUGGUAUACAUACAUGCAUAAAACCUGAAACAAUAUUACAAAGAAAUAUAACUGCCGAUUAACAUAAUGCAAGUUGAGCAUGUCAGAGCCAAGGGGCAGUAAAUAGUUAGAUGAGUAGAAUAUAUGUCAAAAAGGUAAAUGUUGAGGUUGACUUCGAACUGUAAAAUAACACAUGGGAAGAAUAAUGUUUGGCAUAAUUAUAAAAAGCAAUUACCUUCCCAUGUGGUAGGAAUAUAAGAGUUUAGAAACAUUCUUCUAUGCAGUGAGAAUUGGCCUGCUGAACCUGUAAAGUGUAACUCACUUUGAGAAACACCACUGGCAAGGAGUCAGCUGAGAUUGGAGUUCACAAUCCAGGGUCCUCAGACCACAUAAAGCCCACUAACCAGAGCUGCUGCUCAGACAUGAUUUUAUGCAGUGUUUAAGAAAAUAAUGUGAAUUAGUGAUAUCUCUUCUGAAACUGGGAUAUUGUUCCAAGUUCUAGCAGCUUUGAGUCUGUAUUCCCAUGUGACAGUCAUCAGCUGUGCUGAGUCACAGAAGCUGCUCACUUUAGAAUCGAUUUGGUCCUCCGGCUGCCAUGGCCCCACCACACCUGUGAUGGCCCCAUGCUGUCAGUGGCUGACGUGCCCCACUCAUCUGGCUACAUACCUGGCUCAGAUGCAUGAAGACCUGCGAUCCCCUUCUGGAGAAAGGAAAAUGGAAUCCAUUUACUACCGUCACAUGUUAUCGAGCAUUUACUGUGUGUUAUGAACUUUGAAGACAGUGUCUCAUUUAUUCUUCAUACCAGCCCUGUGAAGAAGACAUUAUUAACCCAUACUACAGAAAGGAGAAUAAGUAACUUGCCAAGUCAAGUUGAAAGAGCUGAUAAGUGUGAUGCAAACCAGGUUUGCCCAGCAUCAAGGUCCAUGCUCUUAGCGCUAUUUUAGCUGCUUCCCAAAGACAGGCAGCUCCUUCCUGACAUGUGGUGCCUGUCUGGCAUCUGUGGCUUCCCCAGAGCUAGCAUUCAGCCCAUCCCCUUAGUGUGUGCCCCAAAGAGGGAUGCGAAUCCCAUCUCCUUCAGAAAAAAGCAACAGACAGGAUUCCGCCAAAUCCUUCUAGUGUAUCAAGUUGCUUGGUUAGUGGGAUCUGGUGGAAUUCUAUGUCUUUCCAGAAACUACAAAGGGCAGAGUAGGUGCAGAUCAAGUCAGAAGAUCCCCAGGGAAUACACACACACAAAGGCAAAUGGUGCCGCCCUCUCCCUGCCCAGCACAGCUGCAGACAGAUCCACAGCAUAGAUAAGACAACGACAUUUCCCACGCUGAUAUCACGGCCACUUGACCCCGAAAAGCCAGUGCUGGAGGACUAAAUGUUUCCAUAGACAAUGCUACUAUUUAUUCAUCCAUAAAACCCUCCAUAGUUAUUAAGCACCCACAACGUGCCAAGCUUAGGGAGUCCCCUAGGUGCCAUGGGUACAAAAUGAAAACACUUUACUUCUGCUUUUGAGAUACCCCAGUCUAGUGGCCAAGAAAGAUAUAUUAAGAAUUAUUAUAAGCCUACAUGACACUCCCUCAAUAUCACUAUACACUGAAGUGUCCUGGGAACAAAGAGGGAGAAGAUUUAUUUGUCUGUGAAGUGGGUAACUGAAGGAAGAAAAGACAUAGCUUCAGAGAGGAAGUUUUGGUCUCAUUACUAACUUGUUUUGGGAAGAGUAUUAUAAUACCAUCUGCUGUUGGCUGCCCAGCAUGCAUUCUCCUUCCUUCCUUUGGGAAACCCCAUAUGGCUACAGAAAUGGCCCUGAUUGGCAUAUGUCACUCACCUGGCCACAGCCCUGUCAGAGUGAACUGGUCCAGUCAGAGUGAACUUUACGUGUGUUACUCCGAAUCUUGUCCCAGUCUCUUGUCCCAAUUUCUCUCUCUCUCUCUCUCUUUCUCUCUCUCUCUGUCUCUCCUCUCUCUC
rnacentral:lncRNA from 1 species